UAAUUUGUUUGCGGUAAGUUCACAACUUAGUUAUGACAUAUCCUCAUUUGACUACUCAGAAUCUCUAGUUUCGAGUGACACUGCUACAUCAUUCAUCCAACAAGAAUUAUUAUUUGCAGAUACAAUUA
rfam:Populus trichocarpa scaffold_9_contig_92, whole genome shotgun sequence.